rnacentral:hammerhead_ribozyme from 1 species
ACCUUUCUGACGAGUGCCAAAUAGUACGAAACCCGGGUCCAGUGU